GCUCUCAUAGCUUAGUUUGUUAGAGCACUCGCUUGAUAAGUGGAGGUUUUGAGUUCGACUCUUAAUGAGAGUA
rnacentral:tRNA from 1 species